rnacentral:misc_RNA from 1 species
AACCAUAGAAACCUGCGGAGUACCUGCGGAGGGAUCAUCGGUGAAAUUUUAUUAAUUAUAAAUAAUGAUUUUUUGAUGGGAUUUUUUAUAAAAAAAUUUUAUCAUUUUAUCAUUUUUUAUAAUAACAACCACCAAUUUGUGAACCUUUUAAGUUUUUACUUGGGGGAUGUUGGCCUUUUUUUCCUUUAUAUAAUUUAUAAAAGAAAAAAAGAGAAAAACAAACAGAACCCAAUAAAAAAA